AAAAUUCACCUGCAAAAAAUUCACCUGCAAAAAUUCACCUGCAAAAAAUUCACCUGCAAAAAUUCACCUGCAAAAAUUCAACUGCAAAAAUUCACCUGCAAAAGUGAUGACCUUAAAUGACCCAAGCCAGAGCAAUCAGCACUAGAUCGAGUCGAGCGGCUCUCAGCCAAUUAAAUUACGCUGUUUGAUCACAUGACAUGUUAGCCGGCAGUGUCUUCUGAAAAGAGAGCUGUUUAGAGGUGAGUGAUUAAGUUUUUCUCCUAAAUAGAGAUCAUUACAGAACGCCUAGUCCUACUUAAAAUACCAUUCAUUUUUCUUUUAUUUUAUCAUCUACUCGAACUGAGGAAAACGUUUGACUAACUCAAAGAAAAUUUCCGCGCCUCCCCUGCCUGUCUGCAGAGGCAGUUUUGAAUUCAGGAGCGGCAUGAUGGCAGCGGCAAACCCUGGCGGUUCUCCGGGUUCGUGGCAACCACGGAUGGGAAAAUGUGGAGGUUGCACGGCUGAUGUUUACUGUUCGUGGCACAGGAAGAGGCAGUUUCAUUUCAGGAAUGAGUGUGCACAAUCAAAGCUUAUCACACAUUUGAUUUCCAUGUGUGACAACUGCAAGUGUCCAGAGUGAGGACAGACUGAGGGACCCACUGCUGCACAUCAUCUGUGAGGCUUUGCACCCCUGAUGAUCCACCAGGACAAACUCAGCAGUGUGUGAGGAAGAGGAGGAGGAAGAGCCAGCAGCAGCUGACAGAUGGAGAGAAUAGACAGACUGUUCCCUGUUUGUGAAGGACUGCUAGGAAAGUUUAAAAUAACUAAUUGUCUGUCCUGAAUCAGUCUUAUUAGGUAAUGUUCAAAUAAUGUUAUCAUUCCAGUGUUUUCAGUGUGGGAGAAAGUACUCAGGGCCUUCAAGUUACACACUAUGAAAGGCAGCAACAAGUUUAAUAUUCAGAAACCUAAAGUAUGUAUCAGCAGCAGAAUGGAGCUAAAAAUAAAUGUUUGUUUCAGUUCUAUGAAGCUUUGAGUAUUUUGGAUUAGUAGCACUGCUGUGUUUGUUGCAUCAUAUUGCUGUAAUUGUUUAUAUGCUUUAUAUACUCAGAGGUAAGUUGAUCUAUAGUGUUACAUCAUAUUCUAUAAGGAUGUUAUGUGUUUGUAUACUUUCUGCCCAGUUUGACCCAUUUAGCAGAAGUCAGCCUGUUUAAGGCUCUGAUAUCUAUUCUGUAUGACUUAAAGCAGUUAUGACAUGGUCUGAUUUUCUCACCCAAUAA